AUCGUAUAUACAGAGCAAAAAAAUUGCAUCAGAUGGAGGAAGAAAAAAGAAAGCCAUGAGGUUCCUACACAUCUAACUAUGAACCGAAAAGACUGCAAAAGGCUUCCAAUUAUCUUAUGAGAUGCAUCUCAUGGAGUACAUUGUAACAGGUGAGUCUACGGCAGGCGCAUCGCCAUAGACCCUGGCAUGAUCACUCUCCAGGCCAUAGUCCAUCAUCGGACGGUACUCAAGAUCUUCAUCAUGAUCGUACACAAAUUCUGGCAUCCCAAUCUCAUUCCUCCUCACAUGCUCCCACAGAUUAUCAACCCUGCUCACAUACCUCAAUUUCCCAUAUAACCCUCCGCUGAAGAUGAAGCGACCAAAUGUGGCAAGGAAGAGCCUGGCUUGAAGACCAGGGUGAAGAAAGUAAAUAGCCUCCAGAUUCUCUCGGACUUUCACCGGAAUCGCAUCGUAGAACGAUCGUAAAGCUGAUACUCCGGGGAAAUUCUCGCUUUUCUCCACAUCGGUGUGAACAUACACCACGGCGAACGGCCUUUUCUCAAGUUCCGGAAAGAUCUUCUCCGCUAAAUACUUGUUCACAACUUCAACACUCAGAUUUCUAGCAGGAAAGAAUUUUCCGAUGAUGCGCAAAAUUUUGCGGCCACGUUUAUCUCUGCCUUGGAUCUUGAAUAUUUCGAGUUUCUCUAUAAGCUGUUGUUGUUCAACUUCUGUAAACAUGGUUUUUUGAAUCUCGAUUGUUGCAAAAGCAAAACGCUACGUUUGUUGUGGGAUGAGAUAUGAGAAAGAAGGGCGGAG
rnacentral:misc_RNA from 1 species